rnacentral:rRNA from 1 species
GCUUAACACAUGCAAGUCGAGGGGUAACAGGGAGAAGCUUGCUUUUCCGCUGACGACCGGCGCACGGGUGCGUAACGCGUAUACAAUCUGCCUUAUACUGGGGUAUAGCCUUUAGAAAUGAAGAUUAAUCCCCCAUAGUCUCUUAGAGUGGCAUCAUUUUAGGAGUAAAGGUUACGGUAUAAGAUGAGUAUGCGUUCUAUUAGUUUGUUGGUGAGGUAACGGCUCACCAAGGCUACGAUAGAUAGGGGCCCUGAGAGGGGGAUCCCCCACACUGGUACUGAGACACGGACCAGACUCCUACGGGAGGCAGCAGUGAGGAAUAUUGGACAAUGGAGGCAACUCUGAUCCAGCCAUGCCGCGUGCAGGAAGACUGCCCUAUGGGUUGUAAACUGCUUUUAUAUAGGAAGAAACCUACUUACGUGUAAGUAGCUGACGGUACUAUAAGAAUAAGGAUCGGCUAACUCCGUGCCAGCCGCCGCGGUAAUA